UACGGAGGAUGCAAGCGUUAUCCGGAUUUAUUGGGCGUAAAGCGUCCGUAGGCGGCUGGACAAGUCUGUUGUCAAAGCGUGCGGCUCAACCGCAUACGGGCAAUGGAAACUGUCGGGCUUGAGUGCGGGAGGGGUGACAGGAAUUCCCGGUGUAGCGGUGAAAUGCGUAGAUAUCGGGAAGAACGCCAGCGGCGAAAGCGUGUCACUGGGUCUGCACUGACACUGAGGGACGAAAGCUAGGGGAGCGAACAGG
rnacentral:rRNA from 1 species